rnacentral:sRNA from 2 species
AGGAGACUCCUCAACAAGGCUCCUUCUGCAGAAUGAAUGAUAACCGCGCCGUGGGUCAGAUCACUGGAGCGGAAGAAUAAAGGCAGAUUUUAUGGCAAUUGGCUUGCUGGGUUUUCAAACGACGGUAUCGCGUCCCGUGACGCUCUCGGGCAUCGGGGUCCAUUCGGGUGCUAAUGUCUCGAUCACGCUGAACCCGGCCGAAUCGGACACCGGCGUCGUUUUCCAGCGCCUGCAUGACAAUGGCGACAUCACCGAACUGAAGGCCGUCUCCUCGCAGGUCGGCAAU